GUGGUAGCAGUCAGAUCGCGGAUUCAUAUGCAGUUAUUCAUAUGUAGCGUUCAUGUGGAAGUGAAAGUCCGUGACAAAAUACUACCUCAAGUACACCACUAUGUGAAAAUGGUCACUCUUGUGCAAUACAUGACCAAAUCUGAUGACUCCCAACUCCCCGACCAAAGUACUGCAGCAGUCAAUAACAUAUCCACAAUAGUUAAAUGGGGCACUUUCUAUAUGAGAGUUCAACCUUUCUGUCUUGAGAUAUUCACACCUUUCAGAUUCCCAACUUUAUGAUAUUGUUCAGAAUUUGGUUGGAGAAAAUUAGAAGAUUGGGGC